rnacentral:rRNA from 1 species
CCUACGGGUGGCAGCAGUGGGGAAUAUUGGACAAUGGGGGCAACCCUGAUCCAGCCAUGCCGCGUGUGUGAAGAAGGCCCUCGGGUUGUAAAGCACUUUCAGUGAGGAAGAACGCCUGGUGGUUAAUACCCAUCAGGAAAGACAUCACUCACAGAAGAAGCACCGGCUAACUCCGUGCCAGCAGCCGCGGUAAUACGGAGGGUGCGAGCGUUAAUCGGAAUUACUGGGCGUAAAGCGCGCGUAGGUGGCUUGAUAAGCCGGUCGUGAAAGCCCCGGGCUCAACCUGGGAACGGCAUCCGGAACUGUCAAGCUAGAGUGCAGGAGAGGAAGGUAGAAUUCCCGGUGUAGCGGUGAAAUGCGUAGAGAUCGGGAGGAAUACCAGUGGCGAAGGCGGCCUUCUGGACUGACACUGACACUGAGGUGCGAAAGCGUGGGUAGCAAACAGGAUUAGAUACCCCAGUAGUC